rnacentral:lncRNA from 1 species
AACCACUGACACAGUCCCUUGAUUAAUUCAAGUGCAAAGUCCAUUUUGAUUGGAUGAUCACAACCCAGAUCUUCUCUGGUUUAAAAAACACAGCAGUCCAUGUUUUAACGUCCUUUUCUUGGACAGAUAUAUCACAGCACUCAUGCAUUAGUCCACUUCCUCAACCUCUCAAUCAAGAGUGGAACUGCCAUCCUGGGUCUCAUUCGUAGACUCCUUUUGACAUUCUUCAUCUUACUGGAUUCAGUGCUUCAACCAAGAGCAGUUAUUUUGCUUACAGUAAAUCAUUUCCUCAACACAUCUGGUACACACAGCUCUGAAUUCUGAUCAAGGCUUUUCACUUGACCAGCCAUCUGAGUCCUCCGUAUCCAUUAAUAGCCUCUAAGAAUAUAAGUACCAACGAUUCUUCUGGAAGCCAUUCAGGAAAUAAGGUAUUGUUCAUGGAAUUCUACCGGCGACUGCAGCCCGCUGCCAGCCGACGAGGGCCCCGAGGACGGGACGCCGCUGCCCUCCUCGCCCUGCCGGCGCCCGGGGGACGGCUCCGCGCCCGCCCGCCGAGGGCGAGGUUCGGGCAGGGCUCGGCAGCCCGGCGCCAUUGCCCUUCGCCCGUCGCAGCCCUUCGGCAGCUCUCCUGGCCGCGCUCCGUCGCCCCCAGAGCCCCCUCAGCGCCGGGCCCAACGUGGCCGCCGAGCCCGGCACCCGGAGCGCCCGUCGGACCCCCCCGUUCCGAGCGGCGAGGAAAGCGCUCGGGAGCCGGGCGGCGGCAGCGGCUGCUUCCCCGGCCAUCUUGUGCCGUGUGUGUGAGGGAGUCUCUCCCGUCUCCUCUCAACUCCUUCCUCCC